rnacentral:rRNA from 1 species
UACGUAGGGUGCGAGCGUUUAAUCGGAAUUACUGGGCGUAAAGCGUGCGCAGGCGGUUGUGCAAGACAGAUGUGAAAUCCCCGGGCUCAACCUGGGAAUUGCAUUUGUGACUGCACGGCUAGAGUGUGUCAGAGGGGGGUAGAAUUCCACGUGUGAGCAGUGAAAUGCGUAGAGAUGUGGAGGAAUACCGAUGGCGAAGGCAGCCCCCUGGGUUAACACUGACGCUCAUGCCACGAAAGCGUGGGGAGCAAACAGGG